rnacentral:misc_RNA from 1 species
UUUCAAGAAUGGACUAUAAACGUAGUCAUUCCCUACCAAGGAAUCAGGAGUUUCGAAAAUAUGCCACCACAGCUCCCUCCCAGUAGACAAUCAUGUGAGAACUACACUGAAAAUACGACGUAUUGGGAAGCAAAUAUAUAAUGGAGAAUCAGCAAAUAUUUAUAAAGAGCCACAACACGACGAGCCCGCCAGACCUCUACGUUCGAGGAAAAGGCGAAACAGCGAAGACAAAGAAGGAGAGGGUCGUGUGGGGUCGGCUGGGCGGUUACCCCUUUUGGUGCGCCAGAGUAGCCGCCGACGAGUCAGGCAACUACAAGCGCCAACAACCCAGGCCACAAUAAAAAAAAACAAUGAAGCCACAAAGGUGCCUAAAAGACUACUGGCGAAAUGGCAGGCAUCCAUGGAUGCUGCCAUGAGACUUAUGCUGCAACAAGAGGCAGAAGAUUCUGAACUCCCUGAAGAUGGCGAAUGUUAGAGUGCUGUACAUUGAAGUCAAGAAGCUGAAAAUUGCUGAAAAAGAAAACUGUCUACAUUCACUAGAUCAACUGGCAAAAUUACUGGCAAUUACAUGAAUAACUGGCAAGCUUAGAAUUUGAAAUUUUAUGACAAGCUUACUGCAUGCUGCUACUGUGCCUGGAACUG